AUGGAGGUGGACUGCUUGGAGGUAGCGAACCUCUGGAACUCGCAUCACAGUCCUAGAUCGAUUGUGAAGCCUAUCUUCGAUGAAAUCAAGGAAAGAGCUGCAAACUUUGUUUCCUUUUCGAUCCAGCAUGUCGUAAAAGAAGCCAACAGUGUGGCUGACCUAUGCGCAAAACAUGCAACCACCCUCUCAAUAUCAGAUGUUUGGCUGGACUCUUGUCCAUCCUUCCAGCUAGGAAGCUGA
rnacentral:rRNA from 1 species